GUGCUCUCCCUCUACGUUGUUGUUUUAUGAAUCGAAAGUAACUCUCCAAAUUGCUCUUCAUGCUCUCACUGUGUGAGUUUCUUAAUUUUCUGUUUUUUGUGUUUGCCUUUUUGCUGCUGUCGUCUGUCUGGCCUGGCUGUGUGUGUCUCAUUGCCUACCACUCUACAGUUCAGCACGGCUGGUUCUUUGUGUGUUACUGCUUUUCUGCUCUACAGUAUACCACCGUGUUUCCCCGAGUGUGUUUGUGUGUGCGACUGACUAUCUGUGUGUUUUUGUUGCUUCGCCUUUGAGCGUUAUACACAACGUCGUUGCCAGAGAUACACUUUACGCUUACACUCGACGUUCAGAUUCAUUCUGUAAUCGCGAUUCCUCGAGGACGUAGCAUUAACGUCAACACGUCGGCUGUAUUGUUCGCAUUGUAUAACGCGCGCUUUGGAGUAAGCCAACCAGUCAGCGAUACCAACAACAACGGAACACUCCCAAACACAAAAGAAAUCAUGCAAGCCAGCAUUUUCUCCUCCACCAGAACGUAAAUGUAAGCGAGCGACAACAACAACACAAUCACCAUCAUAAUUACGCGAAGAUAAAGAAAUAAAUGCAAACGAAAGAAAAAAUAAGAAUGCAUUAUGCCACCCCCAUGCCAAUCAACACAAAACGAUGUCAACACUAUUGAGUAUUGAAGAAAACGAAAAGAUAUCAAUCGAAAACACUCUGACUGCCUGUUCGCGUAACGCAUACUACCACCAUUUACCCACAAACAGUGUUGUGAAAUAGUUUGAAUAUUCCUUGUAAAACAGCAAAUAAAAAACCAAAUAUACUUACAUACGAUAACAAUAACAACAAGUUACUUAUGUGCAAUCUAUUUCUAAAAUAUCUCAUGGGAAACUAAGUUUUCAAUAUUACAAAUACAAAAAAAAUAAAAAAAGACAACAACAACACCAUCAACGGUCAAUAUCAAUAAAGGACCCCUACAACUGCAAACAUUCCUCAGCAUAUUAACGGCAGCGUUUGGAUUAUACCAACGGACAGACAGACAUCUGCUAAAUAAAUUGAAUCAGCGCUCUGCUUUGGUAACAACAACUGACGUUCUCGCCAGGAUUUAUAUUAUAUAUCGGAAAUGGAUGCCAUAUAGCACCCACAAGCGAAUCUGUAGCCGACCCCAGAAUUUUUGUUAGUGUUAACUACUGUUACCUAUUGCCCCUGUAUUUUAAACCAUC